rnacentral:lncRNA from 1 species
UGGGUAGGUUCAUAACCAGUUAUUUCUCUAAACAACUUCUAGUAAUCAAUUUUGCCCCAGAACCUAAUCAGUAGACUUUGGCCUCCACUGAAAAGAUCUGGUUAGGUCCAACCAUUAACAUGACUUGAUUUGAUGAAUCGGACCAAUAAAUGAUCAGGCCUGACUUUGACCGGCCAACCUGACCACCAUCAGAAAGACUC